GUGAGGAAUAUUGGUCAAUGGGCGGGAGCCUGAACCAGCCAAGUCGCGUGAAGGAAGAAGGAUCUAUGGUUCGUAAACUUCUUUUGCAGGGGAAUAAAGUGCAGGACGUGUCCUGUUUUGUAUGUACCCUGAGAAUAAGGAUCGGCUAACUCCGUGCCAGCAGCCGCGGUAAUACGGAGGAUCCGAGUGUUAUUCGGAUUUAUUGGGUUUAAAGGGUGCGUAGGUGGUUUGAUAAGUCAGCGGUGAAAGUUUGCAGCUUAACUGUAAAAAUGCCGAUGAAACUGUCAGACUUGAGUGUAAAUGAGGUAGGCGGAAUGCGUGGUGUAGCGGUGAAAUGCAUAGAUAUCACGCAGAACUCCGAUUGCGAAGGCAGCUUACUAAGCUACAACUGACACUGAAGCACGAAAGCGUGGGGAUCAAACAGGAUUAGAAACCCCAGUAGUCC
rnacentral:rRNA from 1 species